GACGAACGCUGGCGGCGUGCUUAACACAUGCAAGUCGAACGCUGAAGCUCAGCUUUUGUUGGGUGGAUGAGUGGCGAACGGGUGAGUAACACGUGAGUAACCUGCCCCCUUCUUUGGGAUAACGCCCGGAAACGGGUGCUAAUACUGGAUAUUCACUGGUCUUCGCAUGGGGGUUGGUGGAAAGGGUUUUUCUGGUGGGGGAUGGGCUCGCGGCCUAUCAGCUUGUUGGUGGGGUGAUGGCCUACCAAGGCUUUGACGGGUGGCCGGCCGGGGAGGGUGACCGGUCACAUUGGGACUGAGAUACGGCCCAGACUACUACGGGAGGCAGCAGUGGGGAAUAUUGCACAAUGGGCGCAAGCCUGAUGCAGCGACGCAGCGUGAGGGAUGGAGGCCUUCGGGUUGUGAACCUCUUUCGCUCAUGGUCAAGCCGCAACAAUGGUUGUGGUGAGGGUAGUGGGUAAAGAAGCGCCGGCUAACUACGUG
rnacentral:rRNA from 1 species